ACUCAAACUCACGGAUCUCUCUGUACCUUUCCCUCACAUUUCUCUCGGGCUCUCCUUUGUUUCCUAACCCUAGCCGCACACAACACUCACUCAUCGCAUCAUUCAUCUUCAUCUUCAUCACCUUUGGUAAACAAUGUCAUCACCUUUGGCCUCUUCGUCUCCCCAGUGUUUUGCUUCUAAUAAUCCAUCAUCUACGGAUGAAUCUGCAAAAAGGGGUUGAAGGCUCUCAAUUGAUUUGUAUUAAUUAGUUGGAUGUUGAAGUUUAUUUCUAUUUGUACCCAAAUCCGGGAUUGUAUUUGAACUUUGUUUUACUGGAAAUUUGGUUAACUUUCCAUAUUUGAUGUAUUGGAGAUUUGGAUUAUAUAAUGAAAAUGUUGAUGUUUGCAGCUGUAUCA